AGAGUUUGAUCCUGGCUCAGAUUGAACGCUGGCGGCGUGCCUUACUCAUGCAAGUCGAACGGCAGCACGGGAGCAAUCCUGGUGGCGAGUGGCGAACGGGUGAGUAAUAUAUCGGAACGUGCCCAGUCGUGGGGGAUAACGCAGCGAAAGCUGUGCUAAUACCGCAUACGAUCUACGGAUGAAAGCGGGGGAUCGCAAGACCUCGCGCGAUUGGAGCGGCCGAUAUCAGAUUAGCUAGUUGGUGGGGUAAAAGCCCACCAAGGCGACGAUCUGUAGCUGGUCUGAGAGGACGACCAGCCACACUGGAACUGAGACACGGUCCAGACUCCUACGGGAGGCAGCAGUGGGGAAUUUUGGACAAUGGGCGCAAGCCUGAUCCAGCAAUGCCGCGUGCAGGAUGAAGGCCUUCGGGUUGUAAACUGCUUUUGUACGGAGCGAAACGGCUCUCUUUAAUACAGGGGGCUAAUGACGGUACCGUAAGAAUAAGCACCGGCUAACUACGUGCCAGCAGCCGCGGUAAUACGUAGGGUGCGAGCGUUAAUCGGAAUUACUGGGCGUAAAGCGUGCGCAGGCGGUUUUGUAAGACAGAUGUGAAAUCCCCGGGCUCAACCUGGGACCUGCAUUUGUGACUGCAAGGCUAGAGUACGGUAGAGGGGGAUGGAAUUC
rnacentral:rRNA from 1 species